rnacentral:lncRNA from 1 species
GUUUAUCCAUUCAAAUAACAAAAUUGUAAAUAACUUGUAUAUUCUUUUCUCAUCUCCCUAAUCAUGUUUGCACAAAUAUUUUCACAAAUACCAACCUACCUUACAACAUUGGUGAAAAGGGCUCCCUGAGAGUACUAAGGAUGUUUUGGGUGCUUAAAACCUAGCCAUUGCAUAACCAACCCCCUUACCCAGAUCUCUGUCAUUUUUAUUAGUUUUUG